GUGAAAUGGUUGAAAAAUAAGUUCAGCGCCUUAAAAGAUCCUGUGGAUUUGUUGUUGUUAUUGUUGUGCAAAGAAAAAAAAAAGUCCAAACACUCACCAUUUAUUCAGCCACAGAGUGCUUUGCUGUCAUUUGACAUUAACUCAGAAGGGAAUUCAGAAGCCUGCGAGAGAGAACGGGGAUAAAAGGCAAGAUGUUAGACCAUCUUAAGGAGAAAGGGCCUUUUUAAAAAGUAGUCCAUAAACAGCAAGUUCCAUUAAACACGUCUAUGCUACAAUUCAGACUCAAAGACAGACGCAUGAACAUGUCAGAACUUAUCAGCAAUCUCACGCACGGCUCAAUCUACAGCAGAUUUGUAAGAAAAUAAAGUUAAUUAGCUCCUCCGUAAGUCACCGACUACGGCCGCCUGGACAAUGGGUCUGCUAAAGGCAGCCCAGGCGGUCGCUGGGGUGCGCGGCGGCGAGCGGGGACACCGGAGCCGGUCUUACCUGCAAGGACAAGAUGCUGAUGUCCGUGUUUAGGGUGGUCAGCGGCGUCCUGGACGCCUGGCUCUGCCCGGGUCGCUGGUGGUGCAGGCUGACAAUAGUGGGGUGCGAGUCCAGGGCGAUCUGCAGGUCCAAGAUGUAGUCGAUGACGUGCUGCAGGAUUUCCAUCUUGCUCACCUUCUUAUUCUGGGGGAUGCUGGGCACCAGCUCCUUGAGCUUGGA